UCAAACUUGGUCAUUUAGAGGAAGUAAAAGUCGUAACAAGGUCUCCGUAGGUGAACCUGCGGAGGGAUCAUUAUAGGAAAAAAGUUUAAAAAUAAGUUGUGGAGAUGUUUAUGACUCUCUGCUUCUUCAAACAAACUAUCGCAACUAUAUAUUGUAGAAUGUGAGGGGAAAUGAUUUGGGUGAUAUGUGAAACAAGAAAAAGUGUUUGCCUGAUAUAUAACGAUCAGAGUUUUGAUGAGGGGAAAAAAUAAAACUUUCAACAACGGAUCUCUUGGCUCUCACAUCGAUGAAGAACGCAGC
rnacentral:misc_RNA from 1 species